rnacentral:rRNA from 1 species
ACAGGGUGACAGGUUGGUGCAUGGUUGUCGUCAGCUCGUGUCGUGAGAUGUUGGGUUAAGUCCCGCAACGAGCGCAGCCCUGCCUCUAGUUGCCAGCAUUCGGUUGGGCACUCUAGAGGGACUGCCGGCGACAAGUCGGAGGAAGUGGGAUGACGUCAAAUCAUCAUGCCCCUUAUGACCUGGGCUACACACGUGCUACAAUGGGCGGUACAAAGGGCUGCGAACCCGCGAGGGGGAGCGAAUCCCAAAAAGCCGCUCUCAGUUCGGAUUGCAGGCUGCAACUCGCCUGCAUGAAGCCGGAAUCGCUAGUAAUCGCGGAUCAGCAUGCCGCGGUGAAUACGUUCCCGGGCCUU